CGCGUAGGUGGUUGUGUAAGUCAGAUGUGAAAUCCCGAGGCUCAACCUCGGAACUGCAUCUGAUACUGCAUGACUCGAGUGCAGCAGAGGGAAACGGAAUUCCUGGUGUAGAGGUGAAAUUCGUAGAUAUCAGGAGGAACACCGGUGGCGAAGGCGGUUUCCUGGGCUGACACUGACACUGAGGCGCGAAAGCGUGGGUAGCAAACAGGAUUAGAUACCCUGGUAGUCCACGCUGUAAACGGUGAAUACUGGGUGUGGGAGGUGUAAUGCCUUCUGUGCCGAAGCUAACGCGUUAAGUAUUCCGCCUGGGGAGUACGGCCGCAAGGUUGAA
rnacentral:rRNA from 1 species